UCCUGAGGCCAUCAGAGGUCCGACUUCUGGAGAAGAUGAGGCUGAACUGCCAGGUGUUUACAGAUGAGAUCACACUGAUCCACCUCAAUUGACAUGUGGCUAACCUGCGUGAAAUUCUGGAGAAGAUGCAGGCCAAGAAGAAAGCCAAGAGGAAGAGCUCUACUCUGACUCAGCUGGUCUCUUUACAGUCUCCUGUCAUGCUGGUGCCCACCCAAGUCAAAGCAGACCCAGACGGUCAUUAUGGUUUCUCUGCACACUGAGUAGAGGGCCAGGGUCUGAUGGUGGUACAUAGUACUGAGGCUGUUAAUCUCUGUAAUCUCUGAAUGACAGGCUGGUGGAGUUAACGGAGUGAGCUUCUUGGGGAGCAGUGAGGAUAAGCUGGAGCUGCUGCUUAAGACACCCACUGCUCACAUCAUUGUUCCUCGCCAGCUGGCCAAAGAACUUCCACAGGAAGGCCCUUCUGCCCCCGACUUCAGACAGACUUCAGCUCUGAGGGAUCAUCAGGACAUAGAAGUGCUUCAGAAACACCAAGCAAUGUAAACCAAAUAAACACUUUAAAGUUUAACAUUUCAUUUCCUGUCUUACUGGAGGAAAACAGUCUGACACAUCUGACGUGAUCGUAUCUGAUGUUUUAUCCCACUUUUUACCUUAAUGACAUUUGUCUUGUAAAAGAAAAGGUUUAUAUGUUCACCCUGUGUUACAGUCUCUGGGUCAUUUCAGGGCAGUUUAAUUUUUGAGUGGGUAUGACUUCAUGUUUUCGGGUUGAUACUAAUGUAAUAGCCAUAGUCUCAAUUAAUGGGUGGGUCAGUCAAAAACUGCUCAUAAAAAUGGCAAUUGCAUGGGAAAAAGGCAUAUUGAAUUCUAAAUUGCAUUCAACCAUGAAGGUCAAGUUGGCAAAAUAAAUCAAUGUCAUAACUUUCACUUUGUACACUUUUUUGAAAAAGCAUCUGUGGUGAAAUA